rnacentral:hammerhead_ribozyme from 1 species
CUUUAGCUAACGAGUCCCGAACAGGACGAAACGCGCGUCCUGGAU